CCAAGAGGAGGAACUAGCCUGGAGGUGGGGCGGAAGGUAGGGGCGGGGGCAAGGCUGGAAACCGGAAGCUGCCCGUGCCGCGCCGCGCGUGCGCCAGAAAUCCAAUGACUUGUCAGCCAGAGUAACGGCUGUUGUCAGGUCUUCAGGGUCUCGAGGGUCUUACUCUGUCACCUAGGCUGGAGUACAGUAGUGCGAUCAUGGUUCACUGUAGCCUCGACCUCCCGGGCUCAAGCAAUCCUCCCACCUCAGCUGGCUAAGUAGCUGGAACUACAGACAUGUGCCACCAUGCCUCAUUAAGGGAGAAGAAAGGCAUGAGGAAAAGAGGAAGAUUGUUAUUGUCAAUAUAUUUCAUAUUGGAAAAGGGCUCCAUGCCACAUUUUUGUUCUGUGGCCUUAGCGCCUCUCUCAGCCUAGUUUUCUUUAGCUGUAGAACAGGGAUCCUAGUACUGCAUAAAGUGUUUGUGAAGAAGAAUACAUUAGCUAAUAACAUAAAGGUUUUAAUACAGUGCAUAUCAUACAGCCUGGCCAACAUGGCGAAACCCCAUCUCUACUAAAAAUACAAAAAAUCAGCUGGGCGUGAUGGUGUGCCUAUAGUUGCUGCUACUUGGGAGGCUGAGGCAGGAGAAUCAAUUGAGCCUGUGAGGCGGGGGUUGCAGUGAGCUGAGAUCGCGCCACAGCACUCCAGCCUGGGCGACAGAGUGAGUGAGACUCCAUCCCAAAAAAAUAAAUAAAUAAAGCCUAUCUUCCGGCCAGAAUAUAAACUCCAUGGAUGGCAUUUGUCUCAGUUAACACUCUUUCUCUAAUAGCUCCUGAAUUGCCUGCUAGAAUCGCCUAUAGGAAGACAUGACAUUAUGGGGAAUGCGUUAAGUAGCUCCCAACAUGGUCAUGUGCUCACACUAGGACUAAGAUACUGUUAUUAAAUAAAUCAUGGAAAAAUGAACUUAGAAAGGGAUAUGAAGGAUUAGCCAGUAAGUCUCUAUAAAACAUAAGGGAAUUAUAUCCAUAUUACCUUGUAUAUAAAAUGCCUUAUUUUUCAGCAUUCUUUUUUUUGUUGUUUUUUUGAGACAGGAUCUCUUACUCUAUGGCCCAGGCUGGAUUGCAGUGGCAUGAUCUUGGCUCGCUGCAGUCUCAACCUCCUGGGCUCAAGCAGUCCUCCCACUACAGCCUCCCGAGUAGCUGGGACUACGGGUGUGCAUCACCAUGCCAGGCUAAUUUUUGUAUUUUUCGUAGAGGGGGUUUCCACCAUGUCACCCAGGCUGGUCUCGAACUCCUGAGCUCAAGCAAUCUGCCUGCCUUGGCCUCUCAAAUUGCUGAGAUUUCACACGCAUGAGCCCAGCCAUUUUUCAGCACAUUCUUUAGGCAAUUUCCUUUCAGCAUUUUAGAGUAGUAAGUACUCUAAGUAGAAUUUACCAAGUUCUUGGUCUUCAUAAAUUGACAACCUCUUAUUUUGUAGGUUAUAGUGCCAUCAUGUGGAUACUUUGUUUUCUUCAAAUAAAAUGUAACCUUUUUAUAACAGAGACUAGAAAACCCAGCCAUCCCAACACCCAGGUAGACAUGAUCGCCAAGGCAGCUGAUUGUCCCAAGGAAUAAGUAUGAGCAAUGAGCACAGAGGGAAAAUCAUGAAACAUCUGAGGACCAUGAGAACUGCUAAAACAAUACGUAGAACUAGCUAUACCAGAGAAAGUCAAGUGAAUGGAUCAGACAAUAAGAAUUGAAAAUAAGCUUAAUAGAGCUUCAGAGAAAGAAGGGAGAAUGUUGGAAACACAAAGCACAAACAAGCAUUUGUGAAUUGGAUGUUGACAAAUAUUAAUGAAAUAACUCAAUGGAUGGGUUGAAUAUAGCUGGACAGUUCACUCAUGAACCGGAAGAUUAGAGCAAGGAAGGAACUAAGAAAUGGAAAGCAUGAAAGGAGAGUUAAGAAAUGUGGAAGGUAGAAGCAUAAAUAUUUUUCUAAUGGAAAUUCCAGAAGGGGAAAAAAAGAACAUGUGAAAGAAUUAUUGCUGAGAAUUUCCCAGAAUUGAAGACAUACUUUAGAAUGAAAAAGGCCAACUCUAACUUUGGGAUUUCUAGCUUCAGAGAAAUGAAAAUUUAGAAUGACCAAGGGGAGUGCACAGGAUUUUUUGGGCAGUGAAACUAUUCUGCAUGAUACUAUAAUGGUGGAUGCAUGCUAUUACACAUUUGUCAAAACCCAUUGAAUGUACAUCACUGAGAAUGAAGCCUAAUGUAUGCACUUUGGAUGAUUAUGAUGUGUCAAUGUAGGUUCAUCAGUUCUAACAAGUAGAACAUGCUGGUGCAGGAUGUUGAUAGGGAGGCUGUGCAUAUAUGGGGGAGGGGAUGAAAGGAACUGUGUACUUUCUGCUCGUUUUUGCUGUGCACCUAAAAUUGUUCUGAAAAAAAUCAAGUCUAUUAAGAAAACAAAGACAGUUUUUUAAAGCAUAAGAGCAUACUUGUUAUAAAAAUACAUGUAAUGCAGUGUAAUUUUAGAAUUCAAGGUCACAUAUUUCUGUAACACUUUUAUUCUUUCAUGCCUACAACUUUCAUGGAAUGGUCCAGUCAAAUAGGUUCCACAUAAUAGGAACCUUCAGUAAUACACCACUCACAUGUAGCAGAAGGACUUUAAAACAGUAUAUUCCCAACUCUUCUAUUCAUUGUGCCAAUGUUGCCAUAUAUUUCACUUUUACAAAUGCUGUAAACAUACAAUACUUG
rnacentral:lncRNA from 1 species